AUACAAAUCAACACAUGUACAUAAACAUGUAAAUCAUGCAAAGGAUUCUAUUAAUAAACACUUUAUUGUUAAACCAUCAGAAUCGCCUAGAUAUACACAUC
rnacentral:sRNA from 1 species